GAUCUAGUGUGGCGUAGUGGUUUGAGUGUUUGACUAUGACUCUGGAGACCAGGGUUCAAAUCCCCACUUGGUCA